rnacentral:sRNA from 12 species
CUGUGAGUAAGUCCUUCCCGAAACGGAUGAGGCUACCUUGAGGUAGAUGGGACAAAGUAGGGAAGGGUUCACAC